rnacentral:lncRNA from 1 species
UACGCUAAGAGUUCUCACUCCUUUACUUAUCACCAUAAAUAGCCAGAGGACAAUUCUGUACUGGAAACCCAUUAUAAGAAUCUGUCUUCUAGGAAUCCACUUCUAAUACCACUAUUUAUAGGUGAUAUGGAUGGUGACAUUGCAAUGAUCUUUCCUCUUGCUUACUUCAAUGAACUUGAAAAUAUGGUUGCAUUUUAAAAGGCACUAAUAAAACCUAUGUCUGUACCUUCUAGCAUUAUAUAUAAAAAGUGCAACAUAGAAAACAAAAUUAAAAUCCACAACUAUUUAAUAUUCACAACUUCUGGAUUUAUCUCAUGUUGCAAAGUAUUUUUGUUACCCUAUUCUUUGUAUGAGAAAUAUAAAACAUCAGUAUUUCA